GAUGAAGAACGUAGCGAAAUGCGAUAAGUAAUGUGAAUUGCAGAAUUCAGUGAAUCAUCGAAUCUUUGAACGCACCUUGCGCUCCUUGGUAUUCCGAGGAGCAUGCCUGUUUGAGUGUCAUUAAAUUCUGAACCUCACCAGUUUUCUGAACUGUUCUCCGAGGCUUGGAUGUGGGGGUUUGUGCAGGUUGCCUCAGCGCGGUCUGCUCCCCUGAAAUGCAUUAGCGAGUUCGAUACUGAGCUCCGUCUAUUGGUGUGAUAAUUAUCUACGCCGUGGAUCGGGGCUUAGACUCGCUUCUAACCGUCCGCAAGGACAAUACCUUGACAAUUUGACCUCAAAUCAGGUAGGACUACCCGCUGAACUUAAGCAUAUCAAUAAGCGGAGGA
rnacentral:misc_RNA from 1 species